CCCCCCAAAAACAACCCAAAUUUACACGAGCUGUUUCACGGUUCAGCAUGUGUGGUGGACCUACUGCUAACAGGAAAUAGAACUACAAUAUGAAAACGCUGCAAAAUUGCUGGUGUUUAUUGCUUUUUGUGUCACAAACUCGCCGGGCAGCUGUAUACAAGCUCAGCUACUUGCAGCGUUAGUGGAAACAUGAAAGCUGCUUUUCAUUGCCUCAGAAAUCAAGCUUUGGCUUUCUACCGCUGUUGUUUCUCGUCAUUAAAAACAAAACUUGUCAUGUGGUUAAGACGGAGACCACUGUUACGUAAAAUGAAAAAACUGUAGGAUAAUAGAACGUACAUACAUGACUAGUUUGAAAGAGAUGAGUAGCUCCUUUGUGUUUACAUGAAGCUUGCAAAGUAAGCUUUGGGAUUUAGACUUUUUUUGUUUUUUUUAAGCUAGUAAAGUAGCUGCAAAAUCAAAGUAGGUGAAUUUGGUUUGAUUCGCCAACAAAAUCGACUCAGAUUCUCUCUAUCCACUCAGCAUCUUCACAGAUGUUAAUAGAAGAGGCCGGGCAAUGCUACACCCGGGAAUUAUCUCUUUUUAACUGUGUGGGUGUAGCAAUGUUCCAGUCCGGAGGUUCAGCCUGGCUGCAGUGUGUGUGGGUGUUGUGGUGUGAUGUGGAGAGGCGGGUAUGAGUGAGCAGGCCACCGUUCUGCCUCUGUUUACCUACGGGGAUUACCUAGCCCCGGCUGGCUGGUAGACCACAGUAUGACUUGAGGUGGGGGAGAGAGUAAACACACAUAAGACGAGCUUCGCAUAAAGUCCAGUCUUUGAGAGUGGAUGAGCUCUGAUUUUUCAGCCUGCACAGUAUGUUUGUAGUGUUACAGCAUUCGUUGUAUGUGUCUUGUCAAUCUGAGCACACGCUCCUGCUCGUCACUGUCCUCAAGCCACUAUGGGAGGGACUGCACAGGGACUGUGUUUAUGCCUGGUAGCCACUGUAAGCGCUGGUAUCAUAUGCAUUCUUUGGCUUUGCCAAUACCAUGUGACUGUGGGGCAUGGCGAGCCAGGGGUGCAGUGGAGUGCAAAUAUUACUUCUAACACCCACAAUUGAACACUGCUGCACAGCAGAUGAGGCAAUAUGACUGAGAUCAAUACUGUGGUAUUAAAAAGUUUUUUGUUGUUUGCUUUUACCUCGGUCUUAAAAUUAUAUAUUGAUAUGACAUUGUAGUUAGUGUAUGAGAAAACAGACUGAGUAAUCAGGUUGCUUAGUCUGCUCUUCUGCUUUCCAUUAUAUUAGGUAAAUAUGUCACACAAAAAUCUAUCCUCAGUUUUGUUACUUUUUAACUCGUAUUGAAUAAGUAAUAGUAAGUUAUUGGCUAUCUUUUACAUAUAUAUAUGUAUGUAUAAAUAUUCUUUGUAUUCCUUUUCAAGUUUGCCCGUGUGAGCAAAAGCAUCUUGAGCGUGUACACACACGCACUCUAAACUUUUACCCCUAAAGCUGAAACGACGUCUUCACACGUUAAUGUUCGGUUUGAGCGUGUGCAGAAGAGCUUUGUUUUUGCGCAGCUCUUGAUAGCAGUUCUCGGCUCUCCCCUCCGAUCGACCACAAGCCGUGGCUACUUUCCAGCUGUGUUAUCUAUGUGAAGUCAAGGAUAAUAGCAUGUUUCCUCUGAGGCCCUGAUACAGAUUGUGCAAUUAGGUUUCAUCACACAGUGCUGUGUUCCAAAGAGCAGGAGAUGAUGACUGGGUCCUUGGAGUCUGGACGGUGGUGCAAAGUAAGCAGAUGGCUGACAGAGACUCUGGACGAGAUGACCGGGACAACCCAGAUGAAGUGGAGAGAUGUCAGUUGCCUGAAAGGCAGAGUGACAGCUCGCGAUGAAUAGAAAGAAUAGGUAGUAGAUACAGACUGACUUGUAGAGCAGGGAAAUUGGAUCACUGGACAAAAGUAGUGAUGAUUACAUUUUAAAUGAGGUGAAUUGGAUAGUGUGGAGCAUGGAAGUGAUGUUGAAAAGCAGCAUCUCUAGGCCAUAUCAUCGAGAGCAAAGAGUCUACAUGUAUGACAGGAGAACUUCAUUUCUGAUCUUAAAAACAUUUAGUACUUUGACUCUUUGUUUAAAAUCGAGUAAGCAGAAAAAAAGCACCAUCUUCUGUAAAAGAAGUCUAUUCACAACCCAAUUAUGUUCCAAACACUGCUCUGAAUGCACUAAUCAAUCAAUCGAUAAAUAAAUACAAAAAACAAAA